rnacentral:sRNA from 1 species
UAACUUUUUUUUGUUAAAUGGAUUACCAUAAAAAAAAGGUUUUCAAUUUUAAUACAAUUUAUAACUAAAUUUUUUUUUAGCUAAACCUCUUGGGGGGAAUCAAUCUUAUCAGAUUACGAAUUUGUUAAUAAUUUUAAAUUUUGCAUACCCUUUCUUAGAGAUUACCCUUUAAUAGAUUAAGAGUAUUUGGAAGGAGAUAAUGAGUCGAACUAUCAUUAUAAUUAUUGUGACUUCAGUGACUUCAGUUCUGAUUCUAAUAAAUCUGAUUCCGACAGCUCAUACGUGUAAGCAAACACCUCUGAGGAUUUAUCAGAAACAUCAAUGGAUAAAAAACAAGACUUGAAUAGCUCAGUUUAAACACCUCUCAUGACCUAUCGGAAACAGAGCUGGAGAAACAAAACAAGACGAUGUACCAAAAGAAAUCUCUGAAAAUUUUCAAAGGGAAGCUGAAUUGGAAGUCGUAGAUGAUGAAAAAUUAUAAACUCUCGCAAAGUCUCGAAAACUCUGGAAAAGUUUCAAACUUUACAUUAAUUUCAAAAUAAGUGAAAGUUGAAGAAAUGGAAGGAAGUGAAUUGGAGAAUUGGAGAAUCUUUGUGAAAAAUGUGGUUUGAAGCAGGAUUCAACAAAUUCUGCUUGUGUUAAAUCGAACACUAAUCUCCCUUCAGAUGAUACCGAGGAACAGCAAGUAUUGGAAGUCAUGAAUGAAGACGGAGGAAAGCAAGAUUUACCAGAACUGACUUUGGAAAUUGGUGAAGCACUCGAUGAAUUUGAAAACCUUUAUGAUGACAAAAUCAUUCUGAAACGAAAUGUGAAGAAAUACUACAGGAUUGAAUUUGCGAAAAAAGCCAAACUGGAUAGCAUGAACGCUACUUUUUCGAUCGUCAGUAUCAAAACAGUGAAGAUGGUGUCUCAGAUGUUGGAGAAGGUGGUUUUGAUUCUUCGGGCAGUAAUGAUGGAGAAGAUUACGGAGACGAUGAAGGAUCCGAAGAAAGCAGUCUGUGCAGCAGCUUGUCCCACUGCACGACUGAAUCGGAGUCCGAGGACAAUGAAGAGUUUCUUUAAUUCACUUUGUAGCAGCUUUAAACCCUUUUAAAAUUAAUGUAAAUGCCCUGUUUUUGGUACUGUUCGAACACAACUGAUGUAACUCAGAAAUAAAUCGUCGCUGAUAAAUUGAA